UACGUAGGGUGCAAGCGUCGUCCGGAAUUAUUGGGCGUAAAGGGCUCGUAGGCGGUCCAUCGCGUCGGGAGUGAAAAGCUGGGGCUUAACCCCAGUCCUGCUUCCGAUACGGGUGGACUAGAGGUAGGUAGGGGAGAACGGAAUUCCUGGUGUAGCGGUGAAAUGCGCAGAUAUCAGGAGGAACACCGGUGGCGAAGGCGGUUCUCUGGGCCUUACCUGACGCUGAGGAGCGAAAGCAUGGGGAGCAAACAGG
rnacentral:rRNA from 1 species